rnacentral:rRNA from 1 species
AUUGAACGCUGGCGGCAGGCCUAACACAUGCGAGUCGAGCGGAUGAGGAAAGCUUGCUUUUCGAUUCAGCGGCGGACGGGUGAGUAAUGCCUAGGAAUCUGCCUGUUAGUGGGGGAUAACUCGGGGAAGCUCGGGCUAAUACCGCAUACGUCCUACGGGAGAAAGUGGGGGAUCUUCGGACCUCACGCGAACAGAUGAGCCUAGGUCGGAUUAGCGAGUAGGUGAGGUAAUGGCUCACCUAGGAGACGAUCCGUAACUGGUCUGAGAGGAUGAUCAGGCACACUGGAACUGAGACACGGUCCAGACUCCUACGGGAGGCAGCAGUGGGGAAUAUUGGACAAUGGGCGAAAGCCUGAUCCAGCCAUGCCGCGUGUGUGAAGAAGGUCUUCGGAUUGUAAAGCACUUUAAGUUGGGAGGAAGGGUAUUCACCUAAUACGUGGGUACUUUGACGUUACCAACAGAAUAAGCACCGGCUAACUCUGUGCCAGCCGCCGCCGUAACAC